rnacentral:rRNA from 1 species
UGAGGAAUAUUGGGCAAUGCCCGCAAGGGUGACCCAGCAACGCCGCGUGGAGGAUGAAUGUCGUAAGAUUGUAAACUCCUGUUAGAGGGGAAGAAUAGUACCGGUUGGACCGGUAUAUGACUGUACCCUCAGAGAAAGCCCCGGCUAACUACGUGCCAGCAGCCGCGGUAAUACGUAGGGGGCAAGCGUUGUCCGGAUUUACUGGGUGUAAAGGGCGCGCAGGCGGGAUAAAAAGUCAGUGGUGAAAUCCUACAGCUUAACUGUAGAACUGCCUUUGAUACUUUUAUACUCGAGUUCGGGAGAGAGAGACGGAAUUCCAGGUGUAGUGGUGAAAUACGUAGAUAUCUGGAAGAACACCAGUUGCGAAGGCGGUCUCUUGGUCCGACACUGACGCUGAGGCGCGAAAGCGUGGGGAGCAAACA